CGGCUUAACUGUGAGCGUGCGGGCGAUACGGGCAGACUUGAGUACUGCAGGGGAGACUGGAAUUCCUGGUGUAGCGGUGGAAUGCGCAGAUAUCAGGAGGAACACCGGUGGCGAAGGCGGGUCUCUGGGCAGUAACUGACGCUGAGGAGCGAAAGCGUGGGGAGCGAACAGGAUUAGAUACCCUGGUAGUCCACGCCGUAAACGGUGGGUACUAGGUGUGGGUUUCCUUCCUUGGGAUCCGUGCCGUAGCUAACGCAUUAAGUACCCCGCCUGGGGAGUACGGCCGCAAGGCUAAAACUCAAAGAAAUUGACGGGGGCCCGCACAAGCGGCGGAGCAUGUGGAUUAAUUCGAUGCAACGCGAAGAACCUUACCUGGGUUUGACAUGCACAGGACGCCGGCAGAGAUGUCGGUUCCCUUGUGGCCUGUGUGCAGGUGGUGCAUGGCUGUCGUCAGCUCGUGUCGUGAGAUGUUGGGUUAAGUCCCCGCAACGAGCGCAAACCUUGUCUCAUGUUGCCAGCGGGUAAUGCCGGGGACUCGUGAG
rnacentral:rRNA from 1 species